AUUGAACGCUGGCGGCAGGCCUAACACAUGCAAGUCGAGCGGAUGAAGGGAGCUUGCUCCUGGAUUCAGCGGCGGACGGGUGAGUAAUGCCUAGGAAUCUGCCUGGUAGUGGGGGAUAACGUCCGGAAACGGGCGCUAAUACCGCAUACGUCCUGAGGGAGAAAGUGGGGGAUCUUCGGACCUCACGCUAUCAGAUGAGCCUAGGUCGGAUUAGCUAGUUGGUGGGGUAAAGGCCUACCACGGCGACGAUCCGUAACUGGUCUGAGAGGAUGAUCAGUCACACUGGAACUGAGACACGGUCCAGACUCCUACGGGAGGCAGCAGUGGGGAAUAUUGGACAAUGGGCGAAAGCCUGAUCCAGCCAGGCCGCGUGUGUGAAGAAGGUCUUCGGAUUGUAAAGCACUUUAAGUUGGGAGGAAGGGCAGUAAGUUAAGACCUUGCUGUUUUGACGUUACCAACAGAAUAAGCACCGGCUAACUUCGUG
rnacentral:rRNA from 1 species